UACGGGGGGGGGCAAGCGUUUGUUCGGAAUUACUGGGCGUAAAGGGCUCGUAGGCGGCCAACUAAGUCAGACGUGAAAUCCCUCGGCUUAACCGGGGAACUGCGUCUGAUACUGGAUGGCUUGAGUUUGGGAGAGGGAUGCGGAAUUCCAGGUGUAGCGGUGAAAUGCGUAGAUAUCUGGAGGAACACCGGUGGCGAAGGCGGCAUCCUGGACCGAUAUUGACGCUGAUGCGCGAAAGCCAGGGGGAGCAAACGGG
rnacentral:rRNA from 1 species